GUUUGGCGUUCUGGUUGUGUGGAAAGACUGAGGAGGAAGAUGGACGCCAUUCCCUCCAAAACUGAAGAACAGAGUCUACCUCCAGAGGUCACAGCGACUUAUCAGCCCUUGACCCCUGACCACCGACAGUAUACAUAUGUGAAUGUGGUAAUGUCUCUUUUUGCAUAACUUGCACACCCUACACACAACUUCCCGCCUACAAAUCCCUUAAUGGGCGGACACCUUCCCGAUCAUAAAGAGCUGGUUAUACCCUACUGUCCCACUAAGGCGUUGUGUUCCACAAAUGCAGCGUUGUUGGUUGUUCCAAGACUCUCUGAAAGUACAAUGGGAUCAAGUGUUACUGUGUUUUUCCCAUGCUGCUUCAAACUUGAAGGUUCUGUAUCUAAAUUAGUGUGUCUGUGGUAACAAACACUUCUCGGAUACGCUUAUCUAUGGGAUGUAUAUAUUGUUUUUUCUCUGCAACUGGCUGUUUCCUACACUGCUUCUAACUUGAAGGGCAACACACACUACACACAACUUCUCGCCUGCAAAUCCCUUAAUGGGCAGGCACCAUCCGAUCUUAGAGCUGGUUAUACCCUACUGUCCCACUAAGGCGUUGUGUUCCACAAAUGCAGUGUUGGUUGUUCCAAGAGUCUCUGAAAGUACAAUGGGAUAAAGUGUUACUGCAACUGUCUUUUUCCCAUGCUGCUUCAAACUAUAAGGUUCUGUAUCUAAAGAAGUGUGUCUGUGGUAACAGAAAACACUUCUAGGAUACGCUUAACUAUGGGAUGUGUCUUUUCAAUGUUUUUUCUCUGCACCUGGCUGUUUCCUACGCUGCUUCUAACUUGAAGGGUAACACACCAAACACACCCUACACACACACUUCUCGCCUACAAAUUCCUUAAUGGACACACACCAUCCGAUAUUAAAGAGCUGGUUAUAGCCUAGUGGGACAGUAGCGCUUUGUGUUCCACAAAUUCAGGGAUAUUUGUUGUUCCCAGAGUCUCUGAAAGUACAAUGGGAUAAAAUGUUACUGCAACUGUUUUUGUCCCAUGCUGUUUCAAACUAUAAGGUUCUCUAUCUAAAGAAGUGUCUGUCGUAACAGAAAACACUUCUCGGAUACGCUUAUCCAUGGGAUUUACAUCUCAGUGGUUUUACUCUGCAACUUGCUGUUUCUUACGCUGCUACUAACCCAGCCUUCCUUGUAGUUCUUUGUGUCUGUCACUUGGUAUGUUGGCAGCAUUGAAGGCGUCUCCUGCAUCCUGAGUCGUGGCUGUCCCUGUUGCUGUGUUCCUGCCUGACGCUCACCUUACUGCUUCUUUGAUGGCAGCCAGAGGACUGUCGACAUCCACCUGGAUCGAUCCUCAUCAUCUUUGAAAUAGACAGACUGUUUUCCAGCGUUUGGACUACCUAUGUUGUAAAUAUAGUAUCUCUUUUCUUUCUCUGUACCUGAAUACUCUUAAUAUGUUAAAUGUGUCUGCUACCUUUUUGGUGUCCCCGUUGAAGUUGAUCGUCUUCUAAAUACGCACAAUAUAAAGAGCUGGUUAUACCCUACUGUCCCACUAAGGCGUUGUGUUCCACAAAUGCAGUGUUGUUGGUUGUUCCUAGAGUCUCUGAAAGUACAAUGGGAUAAAGUGUUACUGCAACUGCUUUUGUCCCAUGCUGUUUCAAACUAUAAGGUUCUCUAUCUAAAGAAGUGUGUCUGUGGUAACAGAAAACACUUCUCGGAUACGCUUAACUAUGGCAUCUACAUCUCAAUGGUUUUACUCUGCAACUGGCUGUUUCCUACGCUGCUUCUAGCUUACACACACACCUUCUCUCCUACAAAUCCCUUAAUGGGCAGGCACCAUCCAAAUCUUAAAGAGCUGGUUAUAGCCUAGUGGGACAGUAGAGCUUUGUGUUCCACAAAUGCAGUGUUGUUGGUUGUUCCUAGAGUCUCUGAAAGUACAAUGGGAUAAAGUGUUACUGCAACUGUCUUUUUCCCAUGCUGCUUCAAACUUGAAGGUUCUGUAUCUAAAGAAAUGUGUCUGUGGUAACAGAAAACACUUCUAGGAUACGCUUAACUUUUCAAUGUUUUUUCUCUGCACCUGGCUGUUUCCUAUGCUGCUUCUAACUUGAAAGCAACACACGACACGCAAAACACUCCCUAGACACACGUUCUCGCCUACAAAUCCCUUGAUGGGCAGGUACCAUCCUAUAUUAUACCUGUAUUCCCCUCGUCCCAAAUAUGUAUGCAACUAACCAAUCUUCCUAGGAGUUUUUUGUGUUGGUCACUUGGAAGCUGGUCCCACAGAAAGCAUCUCCUGAGUCAUGGCUGUCCCUGUUGCGGUGUUCCUGCCUGACGCUCGCCUUACUAGUUCUUUGAUGGCAGCCAGAGGAUUGUUGACAUCCACCUGGAUCGAUCUUCAUCCUCGCCUAGGUAGGCACAGGAUAUUUUCAAGCAUUUGGACAAACUUCUUUGUUUUGUCAAUGGGAUAAAAUGUUACUGCAACUGUCUUUGUCCCAUGCUGCUUCAAACUAUAAGGUUCUGUAUCUAAAGAAGUGUGUCUCUGGUAACAGAAAACACUUCUCGGAUACGCUUAUCUAUGGGAUUUACAUCUCAAUGGUUUUACUCUGCAACUGGCUGUUUCUUACGCUGCUACUAACCCAGCUUCCUUGUAGUUCUUUGUGUCUGUCACUUUGUAUGUUGGCAGCAUUGAAGGCGUCGCCUGCAUCCUGAGUCGUGGCUGUCCCUGUUGCUGUGCUCCUGCCUGACGCUCACCUUAAUGCUUCUUUGAUGGCAGCCAGAGGACUGUCGACAUCCACCUGGAUCCAUCUUCAUCUUCUUCAAUAUUGACACAGGAUGUUUUCCAGGGUUUGGACUACCUGUGUUGUAAAUAUAGUAUCUCUUUUCUUUCUCUGUACCUGAAUACUCGUGUCCCAAAUAAGUAUGCCACUAACCCAGCUUCCUUGUAGUUCUUUGUGUCUGUCACUUUGUAUGUUGGCAGCAUUGAAGGCGUCUCCUGCAUCCUGAGUCGUGGCUGUACCUGUUGCUGUGUUCCUGCCUGACGCUCACCUUAAUGCUUCUUUGAUGGCAGCCAGAGGACUGUCAACAUCCACCUGGAUCCAUCCUCAUCUUCUUCAAUAUUGACACAGGAUGUUUUCCAGGGUUUGGACUACCUGUGUUGUAAAUAUAGUAUCUCUUUUCUUUCUCUGUACCUGAAUACUCAUGUCCCAAAUAAGUAUGCCACUAACCCAGCUUCCUUGUAUUUUUUCUUUCUAUCACUUGGCAGACUGCAGCAUUGAAGGAGUCUCCUGCAUCCUGAGUGGUGACUGUUGCUGUGGUCCUGCCUGACGCUCCCCUUACUACUGCUUUGAUGGCAGCCAGUGGAUUGUUGACAUCAACCUGGCUCGAUCUUCAUUAUUUAUUAAAUAGACACAUGAUGUUUUCUAGCAUUUUGAUUACCUAUGUUGUAAAUGUAAUGUGUCUUUAAUUUACACACGACAUCUAUUGCACUUCUGUCCAUCCUGGGAGAGGGAUCCCUCCUCGCUUGCUCUCCCUGAGGUUUCUUCCAUUUUUUUCCCCCAUUAACUGUGGGGUUUUGUGGGAAGUUUUUCCUUAUCCGAUGUGGGGGUCUAAGGACAGAGGGUGUCGUAUUCGUAAUCUGUACAAACUGUAAAGUACCAUAAUAAUAAAUAUGCCAGAUGAAGGCUAAAGACAA